rnacentral:lncRNA from 1 species
GCCAUCAGUCAUCUGGUGACUACACAGCACAGAUUGGAGUAUUUACAGCAGAGCAGCCAAGAAGAUUCAGCACCGAAGAAGAGGGAGUAUCUGAGAUGAGAUUGCUUAGAAAAAUGCAUUUCUUACCUAAGCCUAGAAUGAGCAAGUUGGUGGUAGGACAGACCGAUGCUACCGGUAAAAUGAACUCUCUACUUAGUUUUUGGGUCUUUGGGGUUGGUUUGGUAUUAGUAUACGCGCCAGCUGCAUAGGAGCUGGUUCAGCAUAUAGGAUAACGUUGUGAUCUUUCCAAAAUAUAAGUUAUUCUAAACCACUAAGUCAUUUGCUUACCCUGCCCCUCACACCUCCUUCCACUAGCAAUCAUGUUCAGCAUGAUGUUUCAUAGGCAUUAAAUGCUCCAAGUACGGCAGCUAGAAAGAGAUAGAGUAUUGCAGUGUACCAAACUUCUGCCCAGAGCAGCCAUUUGUUACACUUAAAAACACAUCUACGAGUUAAAUAGGAAGGAUCCCUGCAAUACAGAAUUUGAGCACUGUUAAUCAUUUAUUCUUGCCAUCCCUUUCCCUAAAUAUCAAAAGGUUGAUACAUACAGUGCUCCUUUAUCUUCUCCCCAUCGCCUGCCCCAGCAGUCCUUAAGAUAAACCAAAGCGAGUUUGGGAACUUGCAGUCCCACUUCUGUUAAAAAAAAAAAGUUGUGCAAGAAAGCAGGGAACGUUCAGUGAAUCCAGAUCUAUUCUGUAGUUAUAAAAUUUCCAAUGGCAAGGUGGUAAGGGCAAAUAACCCAGUGAUCAUAUGGCUUAAGUUCAAUGCAAAGCGCACUAGGAGGUCCACGUGCAGGGCGAGAAGAGUCCAAGAAAGAUGUAAUGAAGUGUCCUGAAGAUCAGUGUUUAUGCAUAGAACUCUUCUUGUUUGUGUGGUUUUUGGUAUCCUCCAUUAGACUGUUUCGGUUCAUCCAGUGAAUAGCUUCCUUCGUCUUUUUUCUUCAUUCUGUACAGCAUAAAUGCAACUAGAAACACUGCAAACACCAAGCCUACCAGUCCUCCAGCAAUAACACCUCCAAGAACUUCUUUUCUGUCCAUAAUUCCCGAGGCUCCCGCUGCUUUGGCAUUCCUCCCAGAGUCAGCCGGCACUUCAGAGUUCUGGGUAGGGACCAAAUCCUCAUCUUUAACCAAGAUGAAGUCUCCCGGGUCUCCUGAGCCAUCUUCAGAAACCUCCUCAUGUGUAGGAGCUACGUCGCCUGGAGCUGUCGUGGGAGCAGCAGCGAUGUCCCCCUCCGGAUGGGUGGUGGAGUUGGUCUCAGGCACACCUUUAGUGUCUGGCAUCUCAGAGCCAGGGGUUUUAGGUUCGAGCUCAUGGACUGUGCCUGAGGCUUCUGAAGGAACUACAUGAAGCACCGAAGGGAAGUGAGUAGUGGGACUUCUUGCUGUUGUUACAACUGCAUCGUCUGUUGGUUUCUCAUCAGGUGAGCCCAACAAGGGUGUUUCAUCCUUCACAGCUACAACUGGCUCCUCUGUCACUACACGACUAGUUGCAGGUGGAGUUGUUACUUUCUUUUCAGUUCGGCUCUCAAUCCUAGGAAACAGCUGUUCAUUGAAAACCACUGCUGUUGCCAGUAACGAGGAAUUGGUCGGCUCUGCUGGCAUUCUCCAGGUGAGAGACUGAUCAGGCAGGGGACCUGCACCUGAACCUGAGAAUCCAUCAUCAUCAUCACCAGAAGAAUCGAGAUCUUCAGGAGGAAGGUUCAGAUUUGUAGUUUGCGGGACGGCAGCGUGGAAGCAGAGCGCUGCCAGCAGCACGGCCACAGCGCGCAGCAUCGUCCUCCUCCUCGGCGGGCCUCGGGAGCGCUCAGCCUGCCCUCGUCUCGCCGCUCCUGUCCCGCUCCUCGGAGUGCGCUUUUAUUAAGCAACCGCCGCCUUUCCUCCGGGAGUUUUCAAUACACAAACUUAUAUUCUCAGUCGCUCUUAUCUUCCCCUUCGCGCGCGCUCUGCCAAACCAGCCUCCCAGCAGCGCUCUGCGACCGCGAGGAGUUGAACUCUGUCUUUUAAUGAACCCACGGCAACAACC